rnacentral:tRNA from 1 species
GCCAGUGUGAUGUAGUGGUUUCAGUGUUUGACUAUGACUCUGGACACCAGGGUUCAAUUCCCAGCUUGGCCA